AUGACAUUUUUUCCCCCAAAAAUCACAAUUUUUUUCCCAAAAAAAUCACUUUUUUUUCCCCCAAAAAUCGCAUUUUUUUCCCCCCAAAAGUCGCAUUUUUUCCCCCCAAAAUUCCCGGUUUUUCCCCAAAAAUCCCAAUUUUCCCCCCCAAAAUUCCCGAUUUUUCCCCAAAACCCCUUUUAUCCCAAAAUCCCAGGAUUUGCCCCCAAAAAUCGCAUUUUUUUUCCCUCAAAAAUCGCAUUUUUCCCCCCAAAAUCGCAAUUUCCCCCCCAAAAUUCCCGUUUUUUUCCCAAACCCCCUUUUUUCCCAAAAUCCCAGGAUUUCCCCCCAAAUAUCGCAUUUUUUCUCCCAAAAAUCGCAUUUUUUUUCCCCAAAAAAUCACAUUUUUCCCCCAAAAAUCACAUUUUUUCCCCCAAAAAUCACUUUUUUUUCUCCCAAAAAAAUAGCAUUUUUCCCCCCCAAAAUCCCAAUUUCCACCCCAAAAAUUCCCGUUUUUUUCCCAAACCCCCUUUUUUCCCAAAAUCCCGGUUUUUCCCCCCAAAAAAUCCCCGAUUUUCUCCCAAAAAUCCGAUUUUUUCCCCCCCAAAAUUCCCAAUUAUUUCUCAAACCCCCUUUUUUUCCCAAAAUCCCGCGGUUUUCCCACAGAAAUCGCAUUUUUUCCCCCCAAAAAUCACAUUUUUCCCCCCCAAAAAAUCACAUUUUUUCCCCCAAAAAUCACAUUUUUUCUCCCCAAAAUCCCCAUUUUCCCCCCCAAAAUUCCCGGUUUUUUCUCCCAACCCCCUUUUUUUCCCAAAAUCCCGCGGUUUCCCCCCAAAAAUCGCAUUUUUUUUUCCCAAAAAAAAUCACAUUUUUUCCCCCAAAAAUCACAUUCCCCCCCCCAAAAAUCGCAUUUUUUUUCCCCCAAAAUCGCAUUUUUCCCCCGAAAAUCCCAAUUUUCCCCCCCAAAAUUCCCGAUUUUCCCCCAAACCCCCUUUUUUUCCCAAAAUCCCGCGGUUUUCCCCCAAAAAUCUCAUUUUUUUCCCCCAAAAAUCACAUUUUCCCCCCCACAAAAAAUCACAUUUUUUCUCCCAAAAAUCACAUUUUUUUUCCCAAAAAUCACAUUUUUUCCCCCAAAAAUCGCAUUUUUUCCCCCCAAAAAAAUCACAUUUUUUUCCCCAAAAUCCCCAUUUUCCCCCCCAAAAUCCCAAUUUUCCCCCCAAAAUUCCCGAUUUUUUCCCCAAACCCCUUUUUAUCCCAAAAUCCCAGGAUUUCCCCCCAAAAAUCAUAUUUUUUCUCCCAAAAAUCGCUUUUUUUUCCCCAAAAAAUCACAUUUUUUUCCCCCAAAAAAAUCACAUUUUUUCCCCCAAAAUCCCCAUUUCCUCCCCAAAAUUCCCGAUUUUUCCCAAACCCCCUUUUUUACCCAAAAUCCCAGGAUUUCCCCCCAAAAAUCCCAUUUUUCCCCAAAAAAUCGCAUUUUUUCCCCCCAAAAUCACAUUUUUCCCCCCGAAAAAUCACAUUUUUUUCUCUCAAAAAUCGCAUUUUUUCCCCAAAAAUCGCAUUUUUUCCCCCAAAAAUUCCCGGUUUUCCCCAAAACCCCUUUUUUUUCCCAAAAUCCAGCGGUUUUCCCCCAAAAAUCCCAGGAUUUCCUCCCCAAAAAAUGCAUUUUUUUCCCCCCAAAAAUCACAUUUUUUCCCCAAAAAAAUCACAUUUUUUCUCCCAAAAUCCCCAUUUUCCCCCCCAAAAAUUCCCGAUUUUUCCCCAAAACCCCCUUUUUUCCCAAAAUCCCGCGGUUUUCCCCCAAAAAUCGCAUUUUUUUCCCCACCAAAAAUCGCAUUUUUUUCCCCACCAAAAUUCACUUUUUUUUCCCCCAAAAAUCACUUUUUUUUCCCCCGAAAAAUCGCAUUUUCUCCCCAAAAAUCCCGAUUUUCACCCCAAAAUUCCCGUUUUUUCCCAAAAUCCCGCGGUUUUCCCCAAAAAAUCGCUUUUUUUUUCCCACCAAAAAUCACAUUUUUCCCACCAAAAAUCACAUUUUUUCCCCCCAAAAAUCGCAUUUUUUCUCCCAAAAAUCACAUUUUUUCCCCCCAAAAAAUCCCGUUUUUUUCCCAAACCCCCUUUUUUGCCCAAAAUCCCAGGAUUUCCCCCCAAAAAUCGCAUUAUUUUUCCCCAAAAAACCACAUUUUUCCCCCAAAAAACGCAUUUUUUUCCCCGAAAAAUCACAUUUUUUCCCCCCAAAAAAUCACAUUUUUUCUUCCAAAAAUCGCAUUUUUCUCCCCAAAAUCCCAAUUUUCCCCCUUUUUUCCCAAAAUCGCAUUUUUUUCCCCCCAAAAAUCCCCAUUUUUGGGGUGA
rnacentral:lncRNA from 1 species